AACGAACGUUAGCGGCGCGCUUAACACAUGCAAGUCGAGCGAGAAGGGGGCAACCCCAGUAAAGCGGCGCACGGGUGAGUAACACGUAGGUAAUUUACCUCGAGGUGGUGGAUAACCUUCCGAAAGGAGGGCUAAUACAGCAUGAGACCACGUCUUCGAAAGAGGAUGAGGUUAAAGCGGGCCUCUAUACAUAAGCUCGCGCCACGAGAUGAGCCUGCGGCCCAUCAUGGUAGUUGGUAGGGUAAUGGCCUACCAAGCCGAAGACGGGUAGCUGGUCUGAGAGGAUGAUCAGCCACACUGGAACUGAGACACGGUCCAGACUCCUACGGGAGGCAGCAGUGGGGAAUCUUGCGCAAUGGGCGAAAGCCUGACGCAGCGACGCCGCGUGAGUGAUGAAGGCCCUCGGGUUGUAAAGCUCUGUGGAGGGGGACGAAUAAGGGUUGGUGAAUAUCCAGCUCGAUGACGGUACCCCUUUAGCAAGCACCGGCUAACU
rnacentral:rRNA from 1 species